rnacentral:lncRNA from 1 species
UUAGCAAAGUCUGUGCGUCAAAAGCUCCUCAUGGUGUUCAUACCGUAGGAUGACUUAUGGAGAAAUGAGGUGGAGUUGGGAUGGGAUCGAUAGAUGACCGAUGAUGUAGACUUUCUCAUAUGGCCGACCUCCUGUGAUCGGCUAUGAGCUGAUGAUAUCGAUGAUGAGUAGGUAGGAUGCACGUCACAAAUUGUCCACAUCAUAAUGUCAGGUGUUUGCCACAUCUUUGAAGGUCGGACAUAUCAUCACAUAGACCAAAUAUGGUCUAACAACCAUAAUCCUUGGCUCACGGUCCC